GUCCCAGCCGCCGCGGUAAUACGGAGGAUGCGAGCGUUAUCCGGAUUUAUUGGGUUUAAAGGGUGCGUAGGCUGUUAUAUAAGUCAGUGGUGAAAUAUUCGGGCUCAACCGGGAUACUGCCAUUGAUACUGUAUAGCUGGAAUAUGGUUGCUGUGGGUGGAAUGUGUGGUGUAGCGGUGAAAUGCAUAGAUAUCACACAGAAUAUCGAUUGCGAAGGCAACUCACAAAGCCAUUAUUGACGCUGAUGCACGAAAGUGUGGGGAUCAAACAGGAUUAGAUACCCUGGUAGUCCACACUGUAAACGAUGAUAACUAGCUGUCGGCGAUAGAUAGUCGGUGGCUAAGCGAAAGCGAUAAGUUAUCCACCUGGGGAGUACGACCGCAAGGUUGAAACUCAAAGGAAUUGACGGGGGCCCGCACAAGCGGAGGAACAUGUGGUUUAAUUCGAUGAUACGCGAGGAACCUUACCCGGGCUCGAACGGUGCAGGAAUAUGGUAGAGAUAUCAUAGCUAGCAAUAGUCUGUAUCGAGGUGCUGCAUGGUUGUCGUCAGCUCGUGCCGUGAGGUGUCGGCUUAAGUGCCAUAACGAGCGCAACCCUUGUCGUUAGUUGCCAUCAGGUCAAGCUGGGAACUCUAACGAGACUGCCACCGUAAGGUGUGAGGAAGGGGGGGAUGACGUCAAAUCAGCACGGCCCUUACGUCCGGGGCGACACACGUGUUACAAUGGUAGGUACAGAGGGCCGCUAACCAGCGAUGGUGUGCAAAUCUCAAAAACCUAUCUCAGUUCGGAUCGGAGUCUGCAACUCGACUCCGUGAAGUUGGAUUCGCUAGUAAUCGCGCAUCAGCCAUGGCGCGGUGAAUACGUUCCCGGGCCUUGUACACACCGCCCGUCAAGCCAUGGA
rnacentral:rRNA from 1 species